CGCACCCUGGCGGCCGGAGCGCAGCGGCGAGGCCAAGGCUGAGCGGUGGGUGGGCGGGGCGGCCCCGGCGCACCACGCCCCUCCAAGCCAACUCCGGCCACGUGGUUCCGGAGAAUGGUGACGACACCGUAUAUUAAGGUUCAAAGAGCUUGAAAACCUUUUUCGUUUAAUCACCGUGGACCGGACAGUAGAGAUGAGAACACAAAGGUCUGAGAGAGAAGUGACCCGUCCUUCGUCAUAAAACUGACAGAGCAUGAGCAGGAGAGGGGCAGAGAGAGGAAGACACAGAAUCUGAAGCAGGCUCCAAGCUCUGAACUGUCAGUGCAGAGCCCGAUGUGUGGCUCGAACUCACAAACUGCGAGAUCAUGACCUGAGCUGAAGUUGGACACUUAACUGACUGAGCCACCCAGGUGCUCUUCUUGUGAGUUUUUUUUUUUUUUUUUUUUUGCUGUUGUUGUUGUUGUAUGUAUUUAUUUAUUUAUUUAUUUAUUUAUUUAUUUAUUUAUUUUAAGAGAUAAAGAGAGUGAGUGGGAGAGGAGCUGAGAGAGAGAGAGAGAGAGGGAGAGAGAGAGAGAGAGAGAGAGAAUCUCAAGCAGGCUCUGCACUAACAGUGCCCCGAUGUGGGGCUGGAACCCACCAACCAUGGGAUCAUGACCUGAGCUGAAAUUAUGAAUCAGAUGCUUACCUCACUGAGCCACCCAGGUGCCACUCUUAUGACAGUUUUGGACUUCAAGCUUAUUUUGUCUGAUAUAAGUAUCUGUCUUUUGGUUAACAUUUGCAUCUUUUCUAAUCCCUUCACUUUCAUUCCAUGUGUGUCCUUAAAACUAAAGUGAGUCUCUUGGGGUGCUGGGGUGGCUAUUAAGCAUCCGACUUUGGCUCAGGUCAUGAUUUUUGUACUUUGUGGGUUUGAGCCCCGUGUUGGGCUCUCUGCUGUCAGCAUGGAGCCCACUACAGAUCCUCUGUCCCGUUCUCUCUCUGCCCCUUUCCCCACUCGUGGUCUCUCUCUCUCUCUCUCAAAUAGAUAAACAUUAAAAAAAAAAGUUUCAAGUGAGUCUCUUAUAGGUAGCAUUUUGUGGGAUCUUGUUUUUUUUAUCCAUUCAGUCACUCUAUUGAUUGAAUUUAAGCCAUGUACAUUUAAAAUAAUUAUUG